AGCGAACGCUGGCGGCGUGCCUAACACAUGCAAGUCGAACGUGAAACCCCGCAAGGGGGAGUAAAGUGGCGUACGGGUGAGUAACACGUAGGUAAUCUACCCUAGAGUCUGGAAUAACCGGCCGAAAGGCUGGCUAAUACUGGAUAGAGCGACGGAAUCCGUAAUUGGGUUUUUCGGGAAAGGGAGCUCGUAAGAGCCUUCGCUUUAGGAUGAGCCUGCGUCCCAUCAGCUAGUUGGUAAGGUAACGGCUUACCAAGGCUAUGACGGGUAGCUGGUCUGAGAGGAUGAUCAGCCACACUGGAACUGAAACACGGUCCAGACUCCUACGGGAGGCAGCAGUGGGGAAUCUUGCGCAAUGGACGAAAGUCUGACGCAGCCACGCCGCGUGAGUGAAGAAGGCCUUCGGGUUGUAAAGCUCUGUCGGAAGGGACGAAAACUCUUACGGUUAAUAGCCGUAGGAAUUGACGGUACCUUUAAAGGAAGCACCGGCUAACUCUGUGCCAGCCGCCGCAGUAACAC
rnacentral:rRNA from 1 species